GAUGAACGCUGACAGAAUGCUUAACACAUGCAAGUCGAUGGGGAAGUGGUGCUUGCACCAUGGUAACCAUGGCGGACGGGUGAGUAACGCGUAAGGAACUUACCUGCGGGACCGGGAUAACAGCAGGAAACUGCUGACAAGACCGGAUAAGGUCAUUAAGCUGCGUAGCUUAGUGAUGAAAGGAGACGCCUGCGGAGAGCCUUGCGUCCUAUUAGCUAGUUGGAGGGGUAACGGCCCACCAAGGCGAAGAUAGGUAGCCGGCCUGAGAGGGUGGACGGCCACAAGGGGACUGAGAUACGGCCCUUACUCCUACGGGAGGCAGCAGUGGGGAAUAUUGGACAAUGGGGGCAACCCUGAUCCAGCAAUUCUGUGUGCACGAAGACGGUUUUCGGAUUGUAAAGUGCUUUCAGCAGGGAAGAAGGAAGUGACGGUACCUGCAGAAGAAGCGACGGCUAAAUACGUG
rnacentral:rRNA from 1 species